AAUAGUAAACUCGUAAACUAGUAUUCAAUGGAGAGAAGAAAAAAAAAUAUUAGAUACAGUGAUCGAGAGAGGAAUAUUUAGAUAGACAUUCUUUCUCCUAAAAAUGACGAGGUACGACGAUCACAUUAUUCGUCGUGUCGAUUAUUUAGAUCGAAUUAAUACAGGUAUCAGAUGUACGUGUACAUAGGUGUAUGGUAAAAUUAGAGCACGCUAUAGCGAUCACCGUGAAUCAGUUCAAUGAAUCAACGAUACCAAAGAGACAGUCGAUGAAAUUUUCUUAAUUGUACAUUAGACGAUUAUGUGUGAUUAAAGUGACAUAUUGAUUAUUUCUUGUGAAUUUUUGUCUCUGAUGUUCGUUUCCGUUGAAUAACCUACGAAUCUUGGGAUCCUUAAGGAUAUUAUAUAUGGGUUGGGUUCUUGUGGUUUAUGCAUUUCACGUUCGAAGUUCUUAGAUGUGAGUAACGUUUGAAAAACACGUUGUGAAAUUAUAACACUCGAUAUUUAUUUAUUAAGAAAUAGAAAUAAUUAAAAUUGUUCGAAUAUUCGAUUCGAAUUUGAGGAUGGUUCCAUCAUGGAUUAGCAAUAAAAAUGAUGCAAUAUAAAUAUUAAGGGAACGUGUAUAUAAUGAUUACCUAGUCAAUUAGUCUCCGUAGCAAAACAAAUGAUGUAAUCUAAUACUCAUCGAUGUUUUGUAAAUAAAACUAAUAAAAGUUUAUCCUUUAUCUUACUCGUAAAUAUAACACUUGUCUGAUUCAACUAUUUUCUCAAUAGUAAUUUCUCAUAAAAGUUCGAAGAGAUUUAAUUCGUUGUAUUUUAAAAAAAGUAUAUAUAUAUUUUUAGCACGAAACAGUAUUGAGAAAGAUUUGAACAUAUUCGAAAGGAAAAAUUUGCAUAUCUUCUGUCUCUGAACUUCGAACUGUAUAUAUAGGGUGGUGCAAUAAAAAUGAACUCUUCCAAUAUCUUAUAAAGCUUCAAUAACAAUAUAGAAUUUAUAGAUGUUCAAAUUAAAAUUUCGUUCUUUUUCUUCGAUUAUAUUGACAUAUACAGGGUGAUAUAAAAGAGAUGAAACAAUUUUUGAGCAUACUUGUUGAAAUAAAUUAAAAAAAAUAUUUAAUUUAAUAACAAAAAUGUAAAUUAGAGAAACAAUCUUUUUUCAAUUUCCCAAUUUCAAUCAAAGUAAAAUUUCUAUUGAUCAUCAUGAUCCAAAAAUUGUUCAAUUCUUUUAUCGUUCAACCCGUAAAUAUCAUUAUUCCACUUAACUUUCACGUUUUUCGCGUCUUCAAUAUACUUUCUCGAGGAAGGUGCUCGCGCAUUUUUCACUUUAACAUACAAUUUCGAACGUGGCAGGAAAUAUAACGUGCGCGUCUCGGCGAAAUCGCGCUGAUUAAGCGCGCGAAAACGCGAUGUCAUUAACGUGGCGCUUAUCUCAAAUCGCAUCAAUUUACGAGAUGAACCUCAACUUAGAGGUUUCACGCGAGAAAAACGUGAAACGUCUCGUUAGCAUCCUCCCUCCUCGUGUUAAUUAUGCGAAGGCCGCGGCUUCGAAAUUAUAAUAUCCGCGACAUUAUUUCAACGGAGUGUACCACACCUCCGUUAAUCGAUGAUUUUAAUCGUAAAAAAAAAAAAAAAAAAAA